UGCCUACGGGAGGCAGCAGUGGGGAAUAUUGCACAAUGGGCGAAAGCCUGAUGCAGCAACGCCGCGUGAAGGAAGGCGGUUUUCGGAUUGUAAACUUCUGUUCUUAGUGAAGAAUAAUGACGGUAACUAAGGAGCAAGCCACGGCUAACUACGUGCCAGCAGCCGCGGUAAUACGUAGGGAGCAAGCGUUGUCCGGAUUUACUGGGUGUAAAGGGUGCGUAGGCGGCCCUGCAAGUCAGAAGUGAAAUCCAUGGGCUUAACCCGUGAACUGCUUUUGAAACUGUAGGGCUUGAGUGAAGUAGAGG
rnacentral:rRNA from 1 species